UUUGUAGUACAUUCCUUUUACUCCACUUUCUUUAUAACUACAGCAUUCAAACCCAACUAAAUGCUAGUUUAGAUCCAAUAUAUACCUGAUUGUGAAGCAUAUGCUAAUUUAUUUCAUAGGAGUGAAAGAAGAGACUACUACACGAAGAAAGACGAAGCAUGUAUGAAAUUGACGAAAGUGAUGAGUAUUAUCAUUAUGGAAUGGAUCAGUCAAAGACUAACAUUCCACACUUUAAGGGAUGGACUCACCAAAGGUAUACAGUUGUACAUUAUCAAUUAUCCAAGUAAUAAGAUAUAAGAUGAUCAGUAAGUCACCAUAACAUUUUAAUCAGUUUUUAUUCUGUCAAAAUUUAUCUGGAUUUGAAACUACAAAAUCUCAUAAUUAUGAAUUUAAAUUUGGUUUGAUAAUUGUUAGGUAAAAGGAAAAGAUAAAACAUUGAGUUAUUCACCACAGCGAUUGUUAUGGUCUAUUAUAUUAUAGGAUUAAUCGCCGAAGGACUUUUGUGAUAUGUUUGUAAGUGACUUGGUCCAGUUUAUACACCAAUAAAUUCCUUUAAAAGGCGUCCAAUCUUUAUAAUUCUUUUAAAUUGGAGAUAGGGAAUAUCAUUUUUUUCACACUCGUUACCUCUAUUACACGUAAAUUGUAUUUUGAUGUCAUUGAAUAUGCCUGGCGCAUGAAUAUAUUUGUUGGUUAACGGCCUGGCGCAUGCAUAUAUUAGUUGGUUAACGCAAAAAUAUGUACUCAAUGCAAAUUGAUGUCUGAUAAAAAUAAAACUGCAAAAAACUCUUAUUAUCAUUCAAACGAAAGUUUAUGUGUAAUAUUUUAUUUAACGAUUAACUUGCAGUGAAAAUAAAAAAAAAAUAACGUCGUUGUUAUUAUCACCGCCAUCUUGUUUACAUUGGUUACGUAAAGAAGUUCGGUGCACGUCGUCUAUCGAAAAAUACCACCAAAGUCAAGAUCAACUCGACCAAUCAGAUCAACGUAUUCCCUUAUAUGCAAAUCCUAUAAGAAUUAUUGUACAAUAUUUCUACCAGAUUGCAAAAACAAUGUGUCAAAUCAAACAAUAAUGAUCAUUUGAUAAGGCAUGCAAAAUUUAAAAGUUAUUUACAUAUCUGUAAGAAGUGUGAUGUCUGGAAAGGGUAAUUGUGUCAAAAAUGAUAACACUGAAUUGAUGUUCAUAAUAAUUUUUUAUUAUCAAUUUUUCAAUUGUUUUAAAAUAUAUAUACAAAUGGUACAAAUGAGUAGAUUUCAGAUCAAUAUAUUUGACAAGUUGAAGUUCCAAAAUAUCCAUUUAUGUGGCCGACAUGAGCUAGUUCAUUGACAUUAGAAUAUAGUCCGAUUUGCAGAUUUCCAGAGGUUGAAUUAGCUUCAUUAAUUUAAAAACAACAUAGAAUUUAGUAUUCACUUGAUAUGGAGGAUAAAACAAAUGAACAGAUUGGCUAUACACACCUGUCCCUUAUGUUAUCUUGUUUUUAGCUCUACCUUUUUUUUUAGCUUAUUGUUUAUGUUACAAUCUGGAAAAAAUCAGUAUUGAUGCAAUAUUCUAAAUAUAUAUUUAUAAGUACGUCUGAACCAGUGACAACUCUACAACAGAUUUAUCCAUCGGAUCACCAGCAGUGAUGGUGAUACAUGGCUGUGUACAUAUUGUAUAUACAACUUGUCUAAACAUCAACCCAACAAUGUUAGAUCUGUAAAUAACAUCUUCAUGCCUUAUAUAUCAUGUACUGUAGUACGCUAGAUUAAAACUGACGUGAAAAGGUAACACCCGGCUACUGAAAGCUUCAUUUUAAUGAAGCCCAGGUGGUCGUGUGGUCUAGCGCACCGGUUACAGUGCAGGCGAUUUGGUGUCACGAUAUCUCAAUAGCAUGGGUUCUAAUCCCGACGAGAGAACAACAAACAAUUUACAGAUCUAACAUUGUUUGGCUGAUGUUUAGACGAGUUAUAUAUAUAUAUUAUAUAUAUCUAGAUAUAUGGUUGAAACCUUUACACUUUGUCUUCAACAGUAGUGAUUAAGACUCUUGUUCUACAAAGGAAUCUGGCUUAAGAGUUGUUUUAUGUUCCAUUUAUGGGUAUUAUGUUUUCUGGUCUGUGUUUCUGUGCGUUCGUUCGUCCGUCUGUUCCGCUUCAGGUUAAAUUUUUUGGUUAAUGUAGUUUUUGAUGAAGUUGAAGUCCCACCAACUUGAUACGUAAUACACAUGUUCCUUAUGAUAUUAUCUUUCUACUUGUAAUGCAUUUUAACACUGUGUAUUCAGACAAAUGUCAGAUAAACCAACGCAAAUAUUUUUGAUAGUCUGAUACAAAAAGAUUAAAUAUUUGUUGGCCCAUUUAGAAAAAAAGAUAUGUUCAAUGAUUUCCUGUUAGAUCUAGUUUGCAGACACUAUAAUUGCAAUAACUUUAAAAUGGCAUGUUUAAGUACACAUUCAUACAUUCAAAAAUAAUUUUAAUGAUACUGAUUAACACAAAAUAUUAGUGGUGAGUGAUGUAUGCUCUUGUGAGCCUCUUGUUAUAUAUACCAGUAAUUGCUAUUAGUGCAUUGUAUAAUAGCAAAAUAAUAUGACCAUACUAAACUUAUUGCACAUAACAUGCUUGUAAGUUUAUCUAUGCACAGUCCCAAAAAAUCGGAAGGUCAAAUAGGAUAAGCAUGUAGCAGUACAAUAUAAAUGUAAAAAUUUCUGUUUAAUUUAACCUAUAGUUUUGUCGUCUUGAUCCUUGAAUUCAAAAACAUGUAUAUAAUGCGCUGUUAGGUUUUUUGAGUCACUAGGGAAAGUAGCUUGUUUGUGAUUUGAUUAUUUGUUGCUGGGUUGCUGUCCAUAGACAAAUAUUCCCUUCUUCUAUAUAUAUGUAGAAUAUGUCUUAGUUAUUGAUAAGUUUGUUGUUGUUUAGGCUUAUUUGUCCUUCCUUUUGAAGGGACAUACACAUGAGGACAUUGAUCAACGAUUUUUAGUAAUUUCACACAGAUUACGACGGGUUUAUGCCAUGACUCUUCCUCAGCUACGAAAGGAAAUAGAAUCAAGUUUUCAUGAUAAACCACACCAGAAAGUGUUAGCAUGUGUACGAGAUGUCAAAUCAUGGUUAGACACUUCUCUUCGUUAGAUGUCAUUCCAUACCUUCCAACAUCAGUUUUGGUAUGUAUUUUAUACAGCUUAGAGUCUCUU
rnacentral:lncRNA from 1 species